rnacentral:rRNA from 1 species
UGGAUCGGACUUCACUCCAACCCCUGUGACAUACCAAUUGUUGCCUCGGCGGAUCAGCCCGCUCCCGGUAAAACGGGACGGCCCGCCAGAGGACCCCUAAACUCUGUUUCUAUAUGUAACUUCUGAGUAAAACCAUAAAUAAAUCAAAACUUUCAACAACGGAUCUCUUGGUUCUGGCAUCGAUGAAGAACGCAGCAAAAUGCGAUAAGUAAUGUGAAUUGCAGAAUUCAGUGAAUCAUCGAAUCUUUGAACGCACAUUGCGCCCGCCAGUAUUCUGGCGGGCAUGCCUGUUCGAGCGUCAUUUCAACCCUCAAGCCCCCGGGUUUGGUGUUGGGGAUCGGCGAGCCCUUGCGGCAAGCCGGCCCCGAAAUCUAGUGGCGGUCUCGCUGCAGCUUCCAUUGCGUAGUAGUAAAACCCUCGCAACUGGUACGCGGCGCGGCCAAGCCGUUAAACCCCCAACUUCUGAAUGUUGACCUCGGAUCAGGUAGGAAUACCCGCUGAACUUAAGCAUAUCAAA